UCAUUGAUUGUUUUCUCAGCCGCCUCAUAUCUUGGUCCGCAUUCAGAAUGGAGAAGUGUGAGAUCCAGUAAUUGCUUUUGUAAGCCUUCAAUGUCGACCUUCUCCUGGUCACCCAUAUGGACUAGUUCAAUGGCAGAGGCGGUAGCACGGGCACAAAACUCCAAAAUAUGUUGGCUGAGUUGUUGGCGAGACGUAUUCUUCAACACCUUCAUCUCGGCCGGGUCAAGCUUGGGAUCUAUCUUGUAUCCAAG
rnacentral:lncRNA from 1 species